GAUGAACGCUAGCUACAGGCUUAACACAUGCAAGUCGAGGGACCGGCGCACGGGUGAGUAACACGUAUCCAACCUGCCCUUUACUCGGGGAUAGCCUUUCGAAAGAAAGAUUAAUACCCGAUAGAAAGGAUGGGGAUGCGUUCCAUUAUGUUGUUGGUUAGUUAACGGCUCACCAAGCCUUCGAUGGAUAGGGGUUCUGAGAGGAAGGUCACUCACAUUGGAACUGAGACCCGGUCCAAACUCCUACGGGAGGCAGCAGUGAGGAAGAUUGGUCAAUGGGCGGUAGCCUGACCCAGCCAAGUAGUGUGAAGGAUGAAGGCUUAUGGGUCGUAAACUUCUUGUAUAUAAGAAUAUGUAUUAUAUGAAUAAGGAUCGGCUAACUCCGUGCCAGCCGCCGCGGUAAUUC
rnacentral:rRNA from 1 species